AGCUCCAAUAGCGUAUAUUAAAGUUGUUGCAGUUAAAAAUCUCGUAGUUGGAUCUCGGGAGCAGGCUGGCGGUCCGCCUCGCGGCGGUUUCUGCCCCUCCUGCCCCCCCUUCCCGUUUUUCCCUGGUACUCUUCGUUGAGCGCCCUUGGUGGACGGUUCGUUUACUUUGAAAAAAUUAGAGUGUUCAAAGCAGGCAGCUCGCCUGAAUAUUGGUGCAUGGAAUAAUGGAAUAGGACCUUGGUUCUAUUUUGUUGGUUUUCGGAACUCGAGGUAAUGAUUAAGAGGGACAGACGGGAGCAUUAGUAUUACGGUGUUAGAGGUGAAAUUCUUGGAUCGCCGUAAGACUAACUACUGCGAAAGCAUUUGCCAAGCAUGUUUUCU
rnacentral:rRNA from 1 species